GUCUACAGCCAUGCCACCCUGAACAAGCCCGAUGUCUGAUCUCAGAAGCUAAGCAGGGUCAAGCCUGGUUAAUACUUGGAUGGGGACCACCUAGGAAGACCAGGUGCUAUAGGCA
rnacentral:rRNA from 1 species